rnacentral:lncRNA from 1 species
GAAUCAAACGGGGAUUUCUUCGGACCCCAAAUCAAAUCCAAUUGGAGAAUCAAACGGAGAUUUCUUCGGACCCCAAAUCAAAUUGAAAAAUCAAAUACAAAUUAAAAAAUCAAAACGAAAAUUUAUUCGGACCCCAAACCCAAAUUGAGAUAAAAAGGGGAUUUCUUCGGACCCCAAAUCAAACCAAAAUCAAAAAGGGAUUUCUUCGGAUCCGAAUCAAGUUGCAAAAGAGGACUACCUCGAACCCGAAAUAGAAUUAAAAAGAAAAUCAAGUUCACAUAGGAACCCAAACUCGAACCCAAAUAAAUCCAAACCCAAACCAAACCUAGUCCACAAAUAAACCCACAAAUAAACCCAAACUCGAACCCAAAUAAAUCCAAACCCAAACCAAACCUAGUCCACAAAUAAACCCACAAAUAAACCCAAACUUGAACCCAAAUAAACCCAAACCUAAAUCAAGUCAAGUUCAAACCCAAACAAAACCCAAAACCCAAAUAAAUCCAAACCUAAAUCAAGUCAAGUUCAAACCCAAACAAAACCCAAAACCCAAAUAAACCCAAACCUAAAUCAAGUCAAGUUCAAACCCAAACAAAACCCAAAAAUCCAAAUAAAUCCAAACCAAACCAAGUCCACAUACAAAGCCAAACGGCCCAAACCUAACCAAACCAAGUCCAAAUAAACAUCCAACCAAAACCAAAAUAAACCGAAACCAAACCAAGUCCACAUAAAUAACCCCAAACCCAUUCCAGAAUCAAAUCCAAAGCCAAACCAAACCUCAUGGACCAAAUCCCAUGAGCCAAAACCAAGUUUAUGAACCAAAUCCCAUGAACCAAAACCAAACUUCAUGGACCAAAUCCCAUGAGCCAAAACCAAGUUCAUGAACCAAGUCCCAUGAACCAAAACCAAACCUCAUGGACCAAAUCCCAUGAACCAAAACCAAACCUCAUGGGCCAAAUCCCAUGAACCAAAACCAAGUUCAUGGACCAAAUCCCAUGAACCAAAACCAAGUUCAUGGACCAAAUCCCAUGAACCAAAACCAAACCUCAUGGACCAAAUCCCAUGAACCAAAACCAAAUCUCAUGGACCAAAUCCCAUGAACCAAAACCAAACCUCAUGGACCAAAUCCUAUGAACCAAUAACCAAAUCUCAUAAACCAAUACCCAAAUCCCAUGAACCAAUACCCAGAUCUCAUACCCAUAUCUCAUGAACCAAUUAGACUAACACAUAGAGUUUAAUAUCGAUCGGGUCUUAACACAUAUACUUAGGGCCUAAUCAACCUCAAAUCCAACUGAAUCCUAAUACAUAUACUUAGGAUUCAAUAAACCGAGACGCGAUUCAACUCAUCCCAUCUAUAAAGGUCUCCUAAUCGAUGGUACUCCAAUCUACAGAGGAUAAUUAACAAUAGAUGCUUGCAUCUAUUGGAAGCCAUGGACCCGCAAAACCUGAUAUCCACAUACAUAUAAAUACUCAUCUGAAUCAUGAAUACUACCCCACGGCCCCGAAAAUUUCAUCGACCGUGCGAGGUGCGUCAUUCGUGGUGGCAGACAGGAGGUACAUGUUUAAUCUAAUCAAAAUGCUAAAUAACAAUG